AGGCCCUUAGCUCAACUGGCAGAGCGUCCGGCUCCAAACCGGAAGGCUGGGGGUUCGAGUCCUCUAGGGCCUG
rnacentral:tRNA from 1 species